rnacentral:rRNA from 1 species
UACGGAGGGGGCUAGCGUUGUUCGGAAUUACUGGGCGUAAAGCGCGCGUAGGCGGACCUGCAAGUCGGGGGUGAAAGCCCGAGGCUCAACCUCGGAACUGCCUUCGAUACUGCGGGUCUCGAGUCCGGGAGAGGUGAGUGGAAUUCCUAGUGUAGAGGUGAAAUUCGUAGAUAUUAGGAAGAACACCAGUGGCGAAGGCGGCUGCAGCUGGCCCGGAACUGACGCUGAGGUGCGAAAGCGUGGGGAGCAAACAGG